rnacentral:pre_miRNA from 1 species
CAUAUACUCCCUCCGUUCGGAAUUACUUGUCUCGAAAAUGGAUGUAUCUAUAACUAAAAUACAUCUAGAUACACCCAUUUCUGUGACAAGUAAUUCCGAACGGAGGGAGUACAUG